AAAUUGAAGAGUUUGAUCAUGGCUCAGAUUGAACGCUGGCGGCAGGCCUAACACAUGCAAGUCGAACGGUAACAGGAAGCAGCUUGCUGCUUUGCUGACGAGUGGCGGACGGGUGAGUAAUGUCUGGGAAACUGCCUGAUGGAGAGGGAUAACUACUGGAAACGGUGGCUAAUACCGCAUAACGUCGCAAGACCAAAGAGGGGGACCUUCGGCCUCUUGCCAUCAGAUGUGCCCAGAUGGGAUU
rnacentral:rRNA from 1 species